UACAGUAUCUUCUGAGUAAAUGAUUAAAUAAAUCAAAACUUUCAACAACGGAUCUCUUGGUUCUGGCAUCGAUGAAGAACGCAGCGAAAUGCGAUAAGUAAUGUGAAUUGCAGAAUUCAGUGAAUCAUCGAAUCUUUGAACGCACAUUGCGCCCGCCAGUAUUCUGGCGGGCAUGCCUGUUCGAGCGUCAUUUCAACCCUCAAGCCCCCGGGCUUGGUGUUGGAGAUCGGCGUGCCCCCCCGGGGCGCGCCGGCUCCCAAAUAUAGUGGCGGUCUCGCUGUAGCUUCCUCUGCGUAGUAGCACACCUCGCACUGGAAAACAGCGUGGCCACGCCGUUAAACCCCCCACUUCUGAAAGGUUGACCUCGGAUCAGGUAGGAAUACCCGCUGAACUUAAGCAUAUCAAUAAGCGGAG
rnacentral:rRNA from 1 species